UAUUAAAAAGAAAUCGAUGUCUGGAAUAUUCAUGGCUAAGAAGUUUGGGAAGAGUCGAAUUCUAUUGAAAUGCUUUGUUCGUCACACCAAAUAUCAAAUGUUGAUUUUUUCCAGUAAUCUAAAUAUUCAAAGCAAAAUCUUGGCUAAAAAAUUGUUCGAACAUAAAGCUAAGUUUCGUUUAUAGAAGAAAAAUAACGAUAAUAAUUUUUCGAAAUUGAAUGGGAGGAAUUUAUCAAUCACAGGAAAUAAUAG
rnacentral:misc_RNA from 1 species